UGAACGCUAGCUACAGGCCUAACACAUGCAAGUCGAGGGGAAACGGCAGCUUAGCUUGCUAAGCUGGACGUCGACCGGCGCACGGGUGAGUAACGCGUAUCCAACCUGCCCCACGGUGAGGGAUAACCCGCGGAAACGCGGCCUAAUACCUCAUGGUCUCCGAGCUUGACAUCAAUCUUGGAGUAAAGAUUCAUUGCCGUGGGAUGGGGAUGCGUCUGAUUAGCUUGUUGGCGGGGCAACGGCCCACCAAGGCAACGAUCAGUAGGGGUUCUGAGAGGAAAGCCCCCCACAUUGGAACUGAGACACGGUCCAAACUCCUACGGGAGGCAGCAGUGAGGAAUAUUGGUCAAUGGGCGAGAGCCUGAACCAGCCAAGUAGCGUGCAGGAAGACGGCCCUAUGGGUUGUAAACUGCUUUUAUGCGGGGAUAAAGCGGGCGACGUGUCGCCCUUUGCAGGUACCGCAUGAAUAAGGACCGGCUAAUUCCGUGCCAGCAGCCGCGGUAAUACGGAAGGUCCGGGCGUUAUCCGGAUUUAUUGGGUUUAAAGGGAGCGCAGGCCGGGUAUUAAGCGUGUUGUGAAAUGUAGGCGCCCAACGUCUGCACCGCAGCGCGAACUGGUGCCCUUGAGUACGCACGACGUUGGCGGAAUUCGCCGCGUAGCGGUGAAAUGCUUAGAUAUGGCGAAGAACUCCGAUUGCGAAGGCAGCUGACGGGAGCGCUACUGACGCUCAUGCUCGAAAGCGCGGGUAUCGAACAGGAUUAGAUACCCUGGUAGUCCGCGCGGUAAACGAUGGAUGCCCGCUAUUUGCGCAUUAGCGCAAGUGGCCAAGUGAAAACGUUAAGCAUCCCACCUGGGGAGUACGCCGGCAACGGUG
rnacentral:rRNA from 1 species